AGUGAACGCUGGCGGUAGGCCUAACACAGGCAAGUCGAACGGCAGCACAGUAAGAGCUUGCUCUUACGGGUGGCGAGUGGCGGACGGGUGAGGAAUAGAUCGGAAUCUACUUUUUCGUGGGGGAUAACGUAGGGAAACUGACGCUAAUACCGCAUACGACCUACGGGAGAAAGCAGGGGAUCUUCGGACCUUGCGCGAAUGGAUGAGCGGAUCCCGGAUUCGCUAGUUGGCGGGGUAAAGGCCCACCAAGGCGACGAUCCGUAGCUGGUCUGAGAGGAUGAUCUGCCACACUGCACCUGAGACCCGGUCCAGACUCCUACGGGAGGCCGCCGUGGCGAAUGUUGGCCACUGUGCGCAAGCCUGAUCCAGCCAUACCGCGUGGGUGAAGACGGCCUUCGGGUUGUAAAGCCCUUUUGUUGGGAAAGAAAAGCAGCAGGUUAAUCCCCCGCUGUUCUGACGGUACCCAAAGAAUAAGCCCCGGCUAACUUCGU
rnacentral:rRNA from 1 species